AAUAUGACUUUACAUAGCUCUACUUCGCAGAGCUUAAUGGCUUUCUACUUGUUAACCGUUAACUGCUAUUGGUUGAUGUGUCACAAUCACUAACUGCAUGCAGUAAAACAGUGCUAUGCAUUUGUCUGUGUGCAGAGGAAGUACUGUGACUGCACUUCUCUACGUCUUUUAAGGGUCUUUUGUAGAAGGUGAAUUUAAAAGACACAAAGACUAGGAUGGCCAGUUGCGGGUCGUGUUUCUGGAGCAUUGUGUGGCUGGUGAUUUUACUGAUCAUAGGCUGGCCCCUCAGUAUCUUACUCGGGGGGCUGUAUGGCCUCAUCACCCCCCUGACCACCUGUGUGGGCCUGGACCGCCUGUCAGACCUGCUCCUGGAGGGGGCCAACCUGGGUCGGACCUGUGCCCAGAACAUGAAACACGGCAAGGCAGUGUGCUGAGACCGGUCCUGGUCCUGACUGCUGGUUCUGGUCCUGUCACCGUGGAAACAGACAAACGUUUCCUGCACAGAGGAAGAGUCACUGUUACUGUUCAUGCCAAAGGCCAUUGUGUUAUUGUUCGUCUUGUCACGUUAUUGAGGUGUUAAUAUAAGUCCAAAGCCAAAACACAAGGAAAACUUCACUUACCAAACUUUUAACAAAAUGAUUAUGCUCGCUCUAUAAAAGUGCUAUUAACAGUGGAUGUUCUUUUUUUUGUUUGGGUUUAUCUAUUCUACAACUUGAAAUACAGAUACUUUGCAUUCAUAGCCUGAAUUUGCUGAUUUUAAUUCAUGAUGACAUCCUGCACAGUGCAGAUAAGAAUGUUCUAAAGCUUAACUUUAACAGUAGAGCAGUUAUGGAUUUAAACUAAAAGUGAUACAAUUAUUUUGAACUUACAUAGUGUUUAUUGAUCGAAUUGUCAUUAGACAGAAAAUAAAAUGUCUGCCUGUCUCUAAUAUUUUACAUAGGAAUAUCUCUGCAUUGUCAAUCCUCAGAAACAUUUUCAGACUGAAGUGGAAGAUUUAAAUUGCACUUUUACAAGUUUACAAGCUCUCUAUUUCUCCACCUCGAAAUGAGGUAGUACAUUGUGGAAUUCCGACUACUGGUCCACUUCUCUUACCUUAGGGUUAACUACCUCUUACCUUAGGGUUAACUACAAACUUUAAAAUGAAGUUUCAGUUCUCUCUGUUUGACUAUACACUAAGCCUUGUCUCACGGCUUAUAAAUCCUCCUCUAACCUGUCUCCUCCCCUUCAUCUACACUAAUUGAAGGUGAUUUAACAAGUGGCAUCAAUAAGGGAUCAUAGCUUUCACCUGGUCAGUCUAGUUCAUGGAAAGUGCAGGUGUUAAUGUUUUGUAUGCUCAGUGUACAUGAGAAGAUAAUGUAGAGAUGGCCAUAUGCAGUAAUUGGAAAUGUAUGCCAAAUAAGGAAAGUGCCAGCUCAUCAGCGUUUCUUUGCUUAUAGGGAAGGUUUUGGUGUGAACUUGUUAGAUGAUGAGAACAGAUGGAAAUCUGGAUGAAGUCCUGUAACAUAUUUUGAUGCACUGUGAAUGUCAGAUACUCUAGGCUCUCCCUCAAUAAAGUGCUGAGAUUUAUGGAUCUAUCAGCAAUCAUAAAAGUUCAA